rnacentral:lncRNA from 1 species
AGAAGACAGCGGGCUGUGCAGGCGCCAGGGGCCGGUCACAUUUCAGGCCGCCUUUCCCCACCCCCGCCAGAUCUGUCAGUUUCACACACCCCUGAUGUGCGGUUUGCCUGUUUGCAAAAGGGGGUGAAAUUCAUUCCCUCGCUGUUUCUCCUUCCCUCCCUCCCUUUCCCUCUUCGCAACCCGGAAGAGCUCCGCUCUCUACAGUGAGCAGGAGAAGGCGGAGGGGAGGGGGCUCCCAGGAAGAACGUACAUCGCCCAGGUUUUACCUCUCGCUGGAAGCCCGCCUGAGAUGCGGUGAGCAGUUCCAGCGGCCAGGACGGCAGCGGCGGCCACAGUGGCGAACUCUGCCUGUCAUUUCUGCCUUCAGAUCUCCGGGCGAGUCAGGAAAAAAAAUAAAAAACAGCUGGCCCUCGGGAGCGAGCUGCCCAGGAAAGAGCUGGUAGAAGUAGGGAUGUGAAGAAAAACCCAACGGAAGAAUGAGAGCCCGUGGGAAUGCUUGGAAAGGGCCGGAGACACGUUUCCCACUGCAAGGAGGGCAGAGGAUUGGGGAAAACAACCCCUGUGCCCAGGAGCCUUCUUCUAAAGGUGGCUUCAGUGUCAAUUUCAUGUUUAUUUUCCUCUGUUUAAAGGUGUGUGUUGAGGCUCAUUGUCUCUGCAUAUAAUUAAAGAAACAGCUCUGCUCUGUAAGAUAAAGUUGGAACCCAGAUGUGUCUGCAUCUGGCAUACCCCCGGGAAGCUAGGGGUCCGGAGGCUUCUUUGCUUCCAGGAGCACCCUGAGGUGGGUGAGAAAACCGCAGCCUCCCCAGAGGGUGCCCAGGGGCAUCCGAAGCGGAAGGGGCAGAGAGGACAAGAUUUGGACUUAACUCCCGGGACAGCAGACCAACAGACCUCCAAAAAGUCACUCAGAGGCAGUUCCCCCCUGAAGACAGAUAUUGUUAAAAUGUCAAGGAAGUGGAGUGAAUCUGGG